CUCCUCAUUUUGGCAGCACAUGUAUUAAAACAGAAAUGAUACAGAGAAGAUUAGUAUGGCCCUUGCACAAGAAUGACAGGCAAAUUUGUGAAAUGUUUCAUUUUUUU